rnacentral:tRNA from 1 species
GCCACAGUUGUCUAGCGGUUAGAACGCUGGCCUUGUAAUCCUGGGGUCUCGGGUUCGAUUCCCGGCGGUGCCC